UACGUAGGGUGCGAGCGUUGUCCGGAAUUAUUGGGCGUAAAGAGCUCGUAGGCGGUCUGUCGCGUCUGCUGUGAAAACUCAGGGCUUAACCCUGAGCUUGCAGUGGGUACGGGCAGACUAGAGUGCGGUAGGGGAGACUGGAAUUCCGUGGUGUAGCGGUGAAAUGCGCAGAUAUCAGGAGGAACACCGGUGGCGAAGGCGGGUCUCUGGGCCGUAACUGACGCUGGAGGAGCGAAAGCAUGGGGAGCGAACAGG
rnacentral:rRNA from 1 species